rnacentral:rRNA from 1 species
UCGAGAAUCUUCCGCAAUGGACGAAAGUCUGACGGAGCGACGCCGCGUGAUUGAUGAAGUUCUUAGGAAUGUAAAAAUCUUUUCCCAGUGAGGAAGUUUAUUGACGUUAACUGGGGAAUAAGGGGUUGCUAAACUCGUGCCAGCAGCAGCGGUAAUACGAGUGCCCCGAGCGUUAUCCGGAAUUAUUGGGCGUAAAGGGUGUGCAGGCGGCUAUGUUAGUCUUCCGUUAAAACCUGGGGCUUAACCCCAGAUCUGAGGGAGAAACGGCAUGGCUAGAGGACAUAAGAGGUGUGUAGAAUUCUAGGUGUAGGGGUGAAAUCCGUUGAUAUCUAGGAGAAUACCAAAUGCGAAGGCAACACACUGGUAUGUUCCUGACGCUGAGACACGAAAGCGUGGGUAG